rnacentral:lncRNA from 1 species
CCUGGCUCAGGUUGAUGAUGUUGUGAAUGGCUGCGACAUCGUACGUUGCUGAGAUACGAGUUAGACGAGAGCUUGAAUCCGAUAUCUGAUCGAUGUGUACACACCUCGAUGGGCAUACCGUCUGACGGUAUUGAUAUCCCUCUUAGGGUAUGUGGUAUUAAUUUAGAAUUUCUCUGGUGGGAUACUCCAGACGUCGGGCGGGCGUUAUAUAUAAUGGCCAGAACAACCACAUGCAAUAACCUCUAAGCCACUCUAUUCAAUCUCGACCGUUUACCACAUUUGAUAAGAUAUCUAUCAACUGGAAAUAUCGAAUCAUCAAACCCCAAAUUACACGGACAUGGACACUGUUGGAUACAUGUUGGCAAUGUUGCCGAGGGGAAGUAUAGAAGUUGCAGUCGCUAAUUGGUCGAUACCACCGAGACUGUACCUGCCUUCUUGGGAUUCAUCCGGGGAGACUGACAAUCAGCCAAUCAGAGCGCAGAUGAUUACAUUCUCGAUAGCAUCUUUUCUCCUAAAGGGGAUUAGCGUCGAUAAGUCUAAUCGCCUCAGGCAUCAAUA